UGGAAAGAGAUACCAAAAUUUGGAGGC
rnacentral:piRNA from 1 species